UGGGGAAUAUUGCGCAAUGGAGGAAACUCUGACGCAGCAACGCCGCGUGAAGGAAGAAGGUCUUCGGAUUGUAAACUUUUGUCUUCAGGGAAGAUAAUGACGGUACCUGAGGAGGAAGCCACGACUAACUACGUGCCAGCAGUCGCGGUAAUACGUAGGUGGCAAGCGUUGUCCGGAUUUACUGGGUGUAAAGGGUGUGUAGGCGGGAAUGCAAGUCAGAUGUGAAAUGCCGUGGCUCAACCACGGACGUGCAUUUGAAACUGUGUUUCUUGAGUAGAGGAGAGGUAAGUGGAAUUCCCAGUGUAGCGGUGAAAUGCGUAGAUAUUGGGAGGAACACCAGUGGCGAAGGCGGCUUACUGGACUCUAACUGACGCUGAUGCACGAAAGCGUGGGUAGCAAACAGG
rnacentral:rRNA from 2 species